UGGGGAAUAUUGGACAAUGGGGGCAACCCUGAUCCAGCAAUGCCGCGUGUGUGAAGAAGGUCUUCGGAUUGUAAAGCACUUUCGACGGGGACGAUGAUGACGGUACCCGUAGAAGAAGCCCCGGCUAACUUCGUGCCAGCAGCCGCGGUAAUACGAAGGGGGCUAGCGUUGCUCGGAAUGACUGGGCGUAAAGGGCGUGUAGGCGGUUUACACAGUCAGAUGUGAAAUCCCCGGGCUUAACCUGGGAGCUGCAUUUGAUACGUGUAGACUAGAGUGUGAGAGAGGGCUGUGGAAUUCCCAGUGUAGAGGUGAAAUUCGUAGAUAUUGGGAAGAACACCGGUGGCGAAGGCGGCAACCUGGCUCAUUACUGACGCUGAGGCGCGAAAGCGUGGGGAGCAAACAGGAUUAGAUACCCUGGUAGUCCACGCUGUAAACGAUGUGUGCUAGAUGUUGGGUAACUUUGUUAUUCAGUGUCGCAGUUAACGCGUUAAGCACACCGC
rnacentral:rRNA from 1 species